ACAGAGGCACGGCGCUGGCAGCUCACCUCAGUUCAUCGCCACCGCACGCUCGCCGCCGUCGCCGUGCCUCUAACAGGAUCAUCCGCAUCGUAUGCUCGCGAGUCGCCUCUCGCAUUUCUCUUCCGUCUGUGCUGUGUGCUCCGCCGCACGCAUCUCACGCGCCCGCCGGUGAGUGCUCGAGCAGUGCUUCCUGCAGCCGUGUAGCGGGUCGUCGUCCUACGCCAUCACAGAAGCCAAACGCCUGGUGCGCUCCACUGCUCUCGUCUUGCCUCUCUUCCUGCAACUGUGCUUACUGGUGAGUGCUCGCGCUCACCGCGCCGAGCCUCCAUCUCUCCCUCGCCUCGCUUCCGUGGUUGUUGCAGCCUGAACUGCUUCUCGUCGUCCACAUUCUGCCUCUGCAACAACAGAGUUGCUCUUCGCUUUACUCUGUUUCUUUUCAUCUUCUCGGUGAUCAUCGAGUUCUUCAUUACUUGAACCAUUCACUAACGAAGGCUGCACGAAUGAAAAUUCUCUCAAGAUGCCAAGGACCAAGAAAACUACCUCUCAUAGGUAACAUUUACAAGAUUGGCAAAGCAAUAUGGUCCUCAUGCAUAUUCAGCUUGGUGAGCUUUCCUGCAUGGUGGUAUCUUCAGCUGACACGGCCAAAGCUCUGAUGAACACUCGUGAUAUCAAGUAAGUGUAUAUAGAAUUCAUGAAGGAUGUCAUGGAGGCAGUUUCAGAGUUCUCUGUUGUUGAUCUAUAUCCUUCCAUUGGAGUUCUUGAGGUUCUUACCGGGUUCAGGAAAAAAAUGACAAGCUUCACGGAGAAGUGGAUUGGAUACUUGAGAACAUUGUGACAGAUCCUAGGGACAAAAUUACAGUUGGUGGUGGAGGAGGAGAAGAUCUUGUUGAUAUUCUUUUAAGGCUUCAAAAGCAGAAUGAUCUCCAAUAUCCCUUAUCUGACAGUGUUGUCAAAGCAAUCAUUUUGGUUAGUAUGUUUCAGUUCAAAA